rnacentral:rRNA from 1 species
AUGCCGCAAGCCGCCACUCAAGAGGGAGAGGCGUCGGGGUCCGGACCAACCCGCGCGCUCCCACGCAGCCAGAGGUCCACGGCUGCAGCAAGGCCCACGGCGACGACCCGGUCGAUGGCCCUGGUACGUGCGCGGCAGUCCCCGGGCUCCCAGUCCCCACGGGAACCAACCGUGCGAUCCAAUACAAGGAAGAGAAAGAGGGAUCCGGCUGCCAACCGGAAAUCGAAGAAACGGAAGAGGACCGGGGAGGAGGAGGAGGUCUCAUCUGCAGACAGCUCUCCAGUUCGCCAGCCACAUAUCCCGGAUCGCAUGUACCGACUUCAUGAUCUGAGUACGUCCAAAGCCAUUCAGAAGGCACGAGAAGAUGUUUCGGCCAAAAGAGCUCGCCAUAUGGGAUUGGCUACUCUGAAUGUGCACAUGUGCAGAGCUUCCAUGUGUGUUCUUGAUGACCCAAAUCUGGUUCCUGUUCGUGAAUCUGCAAGGACGGCAGUGCUUAACGCUGGACGCUCUGUUCUCGGACUUUCAUCCUCUGUUGGUGGUAAGCCACUAGCACGAUGCUGUGGUUUCUGGGUUGAUUGGGAUGAGAAGAACAAAAUUGGCACUGCUUUGACAACUUCACGUCUCAUUUGUACCAAGUCUGCAUCUUUGGACAGUUGGUCAGGGCAAGAAGAGUAUGAUACUAAUGCCGAGGUCCUUGUUCACAUGCAGGGUGGCACCACUGAAAAGGCCACCCUGCAGUACUAUCAGAAGCACUAUGAUUUGGCCUUCUUCAGUGUUAGAAUGGAUAGGCCUGUUCAUAUACUAUCUUUCAAUGAUGGUGUGAUGCGUUCUGACCAUGUUUUUGAGCUUGGAAGAGAUGAAAGUUCGUUUCUAAGGAUAAGCCAUGGUGUGGUGAAAUUCUUGAAUCCGAACCUACUUGAACGGUAUCACUAUAUGCAUGUUCACAGUGCAGAUCCACGUCCCAGGUAUGGCAAAGGAGCGCCACUCAUUGACUUUGGCGGAAAAAUUGUGGGAAUGGUCAAUGGCAAUACAAGCGGAUAUUUUAUACCGUCUUCCAUUUUAGUGAAGUACUUGCAUUUGUGGAGAAAAUUCCAGCGCAUCCCUCGGCCCCAGCUUGGAAUGAAAUUUUGGUCGAUCAAGUUUGUAGACAUUGCUCUUGCUGAGAAUAUAUUGUGCAAGUGUAAUAUUGAUGAUGGCCUUAUUGUAAAAAGGGUGUCAUAUGGAUCUCCUGCUGAGAAACUUGGAAUACUGGUGGGUGACGUCAUUAGUUGUUUCAAUGGAGAACACAUCUCUACAACAGUUGAGUUAGAGAAUAUGAUGCUGAGCAAAUGUGAGGAUGAAAAUAAUAGCCUUAAUUCUGAACUGAAUGUCAAAUUUGAUGUGUUUCACAUACGCAAGUCUCGCUGGAGUGACAGAACAUUAACUGUAAAAGUGUCUGAUGACAGUGAAGUAGUUGCAACAGGAGCACGGACACCAUGA